rnacentral:rRNA from 1 species
GAAUAUUGCGCAAUGGCCGCAAGGCUGACGCAGCGACGCCGCGUGGAGGAUGAAGCCCCUCGGGGUGUAAACUCCUGUUGCCCGGGACGAACCAUGGGUUUCGACCCAUCUGACGGUACCGAGUGAGGAAGCACCGGCUAACUCCGUGCCAGCAGCCGCGGUAAUACGGAGGGUGCGAGCGUUGUCCGGAAUCACUGGGCGUAAAGGGCGCGUAGGCGGUCUGGUAAGCGUGUGGUGAAAGCCCGGGGCUCAACCCCGGGUCUGCCGUGCGAACUGUUUCACUUGAGCACUGUAGAGGCAGGUGGAAUUCCGGGUGUAGCGGUGGAAUGCGUAGAGAUCCGGAAGAACACCGGUGGCGAAGGCGGCCUGCUGGGCAGUGGCUGACGCUGAGGCGCGACAGCGUGGGGAGCAAACAGG